ensembl:lncRNA
CUCUAAUCAAAGAGAACGACACCUCUGAAUCAUAUGUCCGCCUGAACCUAAUAAAAAGCCAAAAGUCAGUUUGUGCAGCACGACUCAGAUCUGGAACCCGUCCUCUAGCUAUAAAGACUCUUCUUCUCCUAAAGAGAAUUUCCCGCUGGGGAAAAUAAACCAUUAAGGUGGUCCACAGCGCCAAGGUGAACAUCUGUCUGGAUGACAUCACUUUCUCGCCAGGCUGCCUGCUCUCGUCUACUUCAGAAGCACUGGAGACCCCCCGUCCCCAUCAGGCCAUAUAAUAAGCCUACCAGGUUCCUGUAACUUUUACUUGCCAGAGGACAUGUGGGAGGAGACCUGCCAGCUGACUCAGAACCCCGAUAAUGACCUUGACUGGAGGAUUGGCCAGAAGAGUCACCCAUAAAACUGGACUCCUCACUGACCACAGCCCUGG